UAUUUUCUCGUCUUUUUUUUCUUUUUUUUUGCGUUGCUUAGUGCGAAAUUCACGGAAAGGGGAGGGGCUGUAUCUGGCAUGAAAACGUUUCCCAAAUGCCACCCCUACAUGCUUAAAAACAAAAUUUCCUUAAUGUGCCAGCGGCUUAUUCACACUUCGGCAUGGUAACUGCCUGUCUAUUAAUGAUGUAGGUGCUGUGUUUGGAGGUGAUUUAGGGGUCAAUAAGUCUAAGCAGUUCGUGGACAUACGACAUUUGCUAACUUAUUGAUUUUAAUGAUGAGAGGCACGACUUCAUAUUUUAAGAUGUCGUAUCAACGUAUUUGUUGAGGAAAGGUGGAAUUGCGUAGCACAGAUAGGCUCUGUAGCGAGAAAAGCGGAGGUAGGAGGUGUGUCUUCUCUGGUGAAAUACCGGCUGGAGGUGUGUCCUUUUACGUUUAGAAAUACUUUCCAUUGUUCCACUCUAUUGCCUUAAAAAAUACGCCCCCUCGGAGUCCGCUGACCAAUCAAACACAACCGACCGCCUCUCACGCUCCGCCCACAAAUCUAUAAUAAAGCCUCCUUCAUCACAUGCCGUCGGCAUAAGAAAGCUUUAUUACAAUAGUGGUUGUUGGAGGAUACGGGCGGAUUAUUCUUGCUGUUUCCUGCGUUCUGAAUUUUGAUACAAAAUAUUAAUUAUGGCAGACACAAAGGUUGACUCCGCGACAGAAAUCUCAGCAAAGGACCUGAAGGAGAAGAAGCUCCUUGAGGAGAAGGAAAACGGAAAAGAUGCCAUUAAUGGAAAGGAGAAUGAAGAAAAUGGAGAGCCUGAAAUUGAUGAUGAAGAGGAUGAUGAGGUGGAUGAGGAAGAUGAAGAGGAAGGAGAGGGUGAUGAAGAGGAUGAGGAUGAAGAUGAUGAUGAGCUAGGUGGAGGAACAAAACGGACUGCUGAAGAUGACGAUGAAGAUGAGGAGGAUGAUGUUGACCGCAAGAAGCAGAAGAAAGAUGAUUAAAGGAUUGUUUCAUAUUGCUGAGCAGGUGUAGACGCCUCCGCUUUAACCCAAACUGUUGGAGCCAGUGGCAUAAAGAACUCAAAUACAUAAAACAUGGUCAUUUUCAAGUUUGUCCCCCAUGUCAACCAACUUGACCCCCAAUUAAACAUUUUCUAGAGAACUGACCACAACUCAGAUUUUCAGCAUUCACAACGAAAUACGCAAGACAAGGAUUUGUUUGUAUUUUUAUUUACAUUUUAUAUUUUUGUACAUAUUGUGAAGAGAUCAGCCACUUUAUCAUGAUCUCCUGUGACCAAAACGGUGCUUCUUGAUAGAAAUUUUACUUGUUUGACCAUGUCUUGAUAUUUCAACAUAAAGACAACAUGUAUAAAAUCAACAGUCAUUGAACUCAGAGCAUUCCAGUAAAUUUUAUGUAUGAACUUUAGUUGUACCAUAAACUAGUUUUUGUAUGGGAGGGCUAGGCCACAGAAAAGGAGUUUUGGUUUCUUUUGACUUGGUUUUGUCUACAUUAUUUGUUUUACCUCGGCCUGUUUGUUGUAUGUGUGGAGUUUGUUGUUCAACAAUAAACGUAACUUUUAUUUUGUGAGUUACACCGGUUUUUUUUUUGUUUGUUGCAAAAUCACAUACAUUUGCUGUUCAUUGAGAGACCAAAAUAGGUGUAGUUAGAAAAAUGUAAAAAUGUAUUGAUAAUGCCUAUCCUUCAAUAUGUGUUGACUCAAAGAACAUCUGAUGAUCCACCUAUUAAUUCGGUUCAUGAGACGCUUCAAUUCUUGAUAAAUUUAAGACUCCUAUGUAUAAUUAAAAUAAACCGAUUUUAUGUGGUUCAGUAAACGCAGACCUCCCAAACUGCAGAAUGAUUUAUGAUGUUACACACCGAAACAUCAGAUAUGCAAAAUGGCAUGAUUCCACAAAAUCUGAUUCAUUUUGCAGCUUCCGGAAAAGCUAAAAGUAAAAAAAAAAUAAAAACAUUUUUGUAAAAGCCA
rnacentral:lncRNA from 1 species